rnacentral:rRNA from 1 species
GACGAACGCUGGCGGCGUGCUUAACACAUGCAAGUCGAACGGAAAGGCCCUGCUUUUGUGGGGUGCUCGAGUGGCGAACGGGUGAGUAACACGUGAGUAACCUGCCCUUGACUUUGGGAUAACUUCAGGAAACUGGGGCUAAUACCGGAUAGGAGCUCCUGCUGCAUGGUGGGGGUUGGAAAGUUUCGGCGGUUGGGGAUGGACUCGCGGCUUAUCAGCUUGUUGGUGGGGUAGUGGCUUACCAAGGCUUUGACGGGUAGCCGGCCUGAGAGGGUGACCGGCCACAUUGGGACUGAGAUACGGCACAGACUCCUACGGGAGGCAGCGGUGGGGAAUAGUGCACAAUGGGCGGAAGCCUGAUGCAGCAACGCCGCGUGCGGGAUGACGGCCUUCGGGUUGUAAACCGCUUUCGCCUGUGACGAAGCGUGAGUGACGGUAAUGGGUAAAGAAGCACCGGCUAACUACGUG